rnacentral:pre_miRNA from 1 species
AUUAAAUCUAUUUUUUAGUUUUUAGAUACAAUAUUUUAACUCUUUGUUUUAUUUGAAAUUUUUUAUGAUUAAUAUUUUUAUUAUUAUUAGACGGUAAAACAUAAAUAGUACUUUAUGCGUCACUAAUUCUUUUAAGUUUUUACAAAUUUUUUAAAUAAGAUAAAUGGUCAAAACGUUGGACACAAAAAUCAAAAAAUAAAGUUAUU